rnacentral:rRNA from 1 species
UACGUAGGGGGCUAGCGUUGUCCGGAAUCAUUGGGCGUAAAGCGCGUGUAGGCGGCCCGGUAAGUCCGCUGUGAAAGUCGGGGGCUCAACCCUCGGAUGCCGGUGGAUACUGUCGGGCUCGAGUACGGAAGAGGCGAGUGGAAUUCCUGGUGUAGCGGUGAAAUGCGCAGAUAUCAGGAGGAACACCAAUUGCGAAGGCAGCUCGCUGGGACGUUAACUGACGCUGGAGGUGCGAAAGCGUGGGGAGCAAACAGG